UUGGAGGGCAAGUCUGGUGCCAGCAGCCGCGGUAAUUCCAGCUCCAAUAGCGUAUAUUAAAGUUGUUGCAGUUAAAAAGCUCGUAGUUGAACCUUGGGCCUGGCUGGCCGGUCCGCCUCACCGCGUGCACUGGUCCGGCCGGGCCUUUCCUCCUGGGGAGCCGCAUGCCCUUCACUGGGUGUGUCGGGGAACCAGGACUUUUACUUUGAAAAAAUUAGAGUGUUCAAAGCAGGCCUAUGCUCGAAUACAUUAGCAUGGAAUAAUAGAAUAGGACGUGUGGUUCUAUUUUGUUGGUUUCUAGGACCGCCGUAAUGAUUAAUAGGGAUAGUCGGGGGCAUCAGUAUUCAAUUGGCAGAGGUGAAAUUCUUGGAUUUAUUGAUGACUAACUACUGCGAAAGCAUUUGCCGAGGACGUUUUCAUUAAUCAAGAACGAAAGUUAGGGGAUCGAAGACGAUCAGAUACCGUCGUAGUCUUAACCAUAAACUAUGCCGACUAGGAAUCAGACGAUGUUAAUUUUUUAAUGACUCGUUUGGCACCUUACGGGAAACCAAGUGUUUGGGU
rnacentral:rRNA from 1 species